rnacentral:rRNA from 1 species
GACGAACGCUGGCGGCGUGCUUAACACAUGCAAGUCGAGCGGUAAGGCCCUUCGGGGUACACGAGCGGCGAACGGGUGAGUAACAUGUGGGUGACCUGCCUCUAGCUCUGGGAUAAGCCUGGGAAACUGGGUCUAAUACCGGAUAUGACCUCAUGACGCAUGUUGUGGGGUGGAAAGCCUUGUGCGGCUAGGGAUGGGCCCGCGGCCUAUCAGCUUGUUGGUGGGGUGAUGGCCUACCAAGGCGACGACGGGUAGCCGGCCUGAGAGGAUGAUCAGC